ACCACCAUGCCCAGCCAAUUUAAUGGACACUUAACUUAUCCAUAACCCCUCCAGUUAUUAUGCCAUACCAGUAUAUAACUGGCUGAAGAUUAAUCACAUUUUGCAGAACGUGAGCCAUGGUGAUGGAAGCCUCUUCCAAACCAAAGUGCUUAAUAAGUGCUCGUGAGGACCAUACAAUGUGGAAGGAACCUGGGUCCCUGAAAAUUCCCACAGAAGGCUACUGACCAAGAAAUCUUUCAAAAGACUAUGACAGGAGCAAAAACUACAUUUUUAUUGGGUUAAACUACAGAGAUUUCUGGGUGUAUCUGUUACAGCAACUGGUGUUAAUUAAACAGAGAAGAGCACCGUUCCAUUUUCUCUUUAAGGUUGGAG